rnacentral:siRNA from 1 species
UUCAAGCAUUCAAAUAAGCAUAUU